rnacentral:rRNA from 1 species
ACGGGAGGCAGCAGUGGGGAAUAUUGGACAAUGGGCGAAAGCCUGAUCCAGCGACGCCGCGUGAGUGAAGAAGUAUUUCGGUAUGUAAAGCUCUAUCAGCAGGGAAGAUAAUGACGGUACCUGACUAAGAAGCACCGGCUAAAUACGUGCCAGCAGCCGCGGUAAUACGUAUGGUGCAAGCGUUAUCCGGAUUUACUGGGUGUAAAGGGAGCGUAGACGGCAUGGCAAGUCUGAAGUGAAAGCCCGGGGCUCAACCCCGGGACUGCUUUGGAAACUGCUAAGCUAGAGUGCAGGAGAGGUAAGUGGAAUUCCUAGUGUAGCGGUGAAAUGCGUAGAUAUUAGGAGGAACACCAGUGGCGAAGGCGGCUUACUGGACGAUAACUGACGUUGAGGCUCGAAAGCGUGGGGAGCAAACAGGAUUAGAUACCCUGGUA